ACGAAUCUAUUUCCAUGCAGACUAAACAAAGCUGUGAUUUUUCCCGACGCUGCUGUAUUAGGGCAAUAUGACGUCAUGAACUGUAUGUGACUGUACGCAGCGCGUGCCGCGGAGCGCGUGCUCUGAGCACAUGGAAAAGGGCUCGAGACGAAGUGCCCAAAGAAAUACUACAAACCUGAAAUGGAAUAUCAGUAACAAAUUAUUCACAUCUGGAGUAAAGGGACCUUCAGAACAGCUGCUAGUCAGCCUGUCGUUCUCUCAAUAGAAGCCUGAAACCGGAGCCACAAGUGAAUGCCAAACUUUUCAGGAAAAGACCUACAUGCUCUGCCCCCUGUGAGCUGACAGCUCCUUGCCAUCAAAGUCAACGAUGCUGCUUUGCUGUGAAGAGAUGAAGAUCUGCUGCUGCCUGCGGACAGCUGGGUUUUACACAGUGGGUGUAAAGAUGUGGAAGAGGGUAAGGAAUGCUUUGGUUUUUGGAGUUAGUCUGUACUCAGCAUCAGGGCUCUGUAUUUUUCCCACAUAAAUACAUGCAUUUCUGUUUUGUAUAUCUAUAUAUAAGAUUCAGCUGGACAGAUGUUGAAACUGAUUUAACAUCUGCAACUUAUUCUAACAACUCUAAAAUACUAUUCUCAAACUGAUUUUCAUUCCAAAUAAACCAUUAUUUUUUUUUUUUUACAUUAAAAAUGAUAACUGCAAUUUGAUAAAUUGGUAAUCGAUGCUUCAAUUGUUUGAUUAUUUAUGUGCAGUUUGCUGUUACAAAAAUAAACCAUAAGUGAAAGUUCAUAUUGAUACUUAGAAGCAAUUUUGAGAUUAUUAGCAUCUGCUGAUAACCAGUCCUCUUUGGCUGAAUGAAUAAUAAACAUCUUCUGUUUUCAAUAA